rnacentral:rRNA from 1 species
AGCAUAUCAAUAAGCGGAGGAAAAGAAACCAACAGGGAUUGCCCCAGUAACGGCGAGUGAAGCGGCAACAGCUCAAAUUUGAAAUCUGGCCCCUCGGGGUCCGAGUUGUAAUUUGUAGAGGAUGCUUUUGGUGAGGUGCCGCCCGAGUUCCCUGGAACGGGACGCCACAGAGGGUGAGAGCCCCGUCUGGCUGGCCACCGAGCCUCUGUAAAGCUCCUUCGACGAGUCGAGUAGUUUGGGAAUGCUGCUCAAAAUGGGAGGUAUAUGUCUUCUAAAGCUAAAUAUUGGCCAGAGACCGAUAGCGCACAAGUAGAGUGAUCGAAAGAUGAAAAGCACCUUGAAAAGAGGGUUAAAUAGUACGUGAAAUUGUUGAAAGGGAAGCGCUUGUGACCAGACUUGGGCGCGGCGGAUCAUCCGGGGUUCUCUCCGGUGCACUUCGCCGCGUCUAGGCCAGCAUCAGUUCGUCGCGGGGGAAAAAGGCUUCGGGAACGUGGCUCCUCCGGGAGUGUUAUAGCCCGUUGCAUAAUACCCUGCGGUGGACUGAGGACCGCGCAUCUGCAAGGAUGCUGGCGUAA